GGGCCGGUAGUUCAGCCUGGUUAGGAGCAUUGACUCUCCGGAUAGAACGUCCGCCUUACACGCGGAAACCCUCACGUGGGGGCCGUAGGGUCGGGAGUUCAAAUCUCCCCCGGCCCACCA
rnacentral:tRNA from 1 species